UUCACUUAUCUGAUCACUGGAGCAAAGAUUCAAGAGGAAAUUCAUCUGCUGCACAUAAAUGACCAUCAAGAUGUGCAUAAAUCUUCAGUGACUGGAAAUAAGUGCUCUUCCUGUAAUUUCUGAAGCAACGAUUUAUUUGGAGACAUUUUUCCCAUGACAGUCAAUGACUGCUUUGUUGCUAAUUCUUCUUUCCUCUUUACAGAAAAAUGAAGGAUGAAAUGAGAUAUUAAAGACAGAAAAGUAACACAUGUAAUGAAAUAUCUGUUCUGUAAUCUCCUAUUGGAGUGGGAAGGAGCAAAGCUUCUACCUUUGGCAAGAGAAGUACAAAACACAGCAUAUAACUUUUAUUCCAAGGAUUUUGUAGAUAUGGAGAACACAGGGAAUGCUUUGAUAUAUUUACUACACAAAUGAUGAUGCUUGUACUAAUCUGUAUUUGCCAGCCAGUUCUUCCAUGUGUAUGUUCCUUAAGUAGCUGCAGUUAAGUCUCCAGUCCCAGACUGCUGUGAUUAGAUCUGUGGAGACCAUGGCUGUCUUUGGUCAGGCUGCAGAAACAGGGAUUCAGGACAAGUAUGAAACUAAUAUCUGAUUAAUAAAUGAACUCAUAGUUCCCCUGCAAAUAUUAUACAUACUACACAGUAGCUGUAGAAAUAGUUACGUAAUGAGUUACCAAAAAAAAAAAAAAAGUAAGAGAAGAAACAAACAAACAAACAAAAAAACCAAAUAAACAAACCAAGAAACUCAGUAACUCAGUCUGGGAGAUGUGCUAAAUUUAUGUUUUUCUUUAAACAUGGCUUACAAGAAGGGACAAGUUCCAGAUUCCUUUGUACUGGAAAAAAGAAUAAAAAUAGGAUCUGUAUUAAAACUAGAGUGAGGGCUAGGCCAGUGAAAAUAACUUCACACAUCAUCUUUUAAAAAAUUUUCUUGCAGUUUUACACUAAUAAUGAGGGACUUUUUCACACUGGUUAGGACACUAGGCACAUCACAUUGCUGAGAACUCCAAGUGACACCCACUGAGUCACUUCUGAGUUGAUGUUGGCAUGAGCUUACCACUGCUGCAUUGACCAGUUCUGCUGACCAGGAAAGGGAGUAGGACAGGAAAUGUAGACAUUUACUGAUGAAUUUAUAAAUGCCAGUUCUUAUUCCAAUGAUGGUGUUUGUAACUGCAGAGUAAAGAGAUUGCAGAAUUUUGUUGGGUAAACACAAAGUAGAUUUCCAAACAGAUAAUAUACCUGUCUCGAGCAAGGGAUGCUGCUCCUAUGACAUCUAAGAUCAAGAUCCCAACAGAUUGCUCAGGCCUCUGACUUAGUUACCUGAACAUUUUUAUGCAGUCCAGAAGAAUAAUGACUAUGAUUUGGCUUGGUUCAUCCACCACUUCUACAGCUUUAUCUCAUCUUUACCAGUAUGCAGAUCCAUUUGUCCACCAGCUGAAAGCACUGUACAACAACAGAAUGGAAGUUCUAGGUCAAAGAAAUGCACUGCAAAGUCACUCCAGAGAAAAACAUCUGCUCCAGGUAAAGAUACACAGUAAUAAUUCCAGAUCCUCACAGUCUGCUGGACAAAGUUACUUGCUAGACUGCCACAGAUAUUCCUAUCUUGAACCUAACAGUUUCUCCAAUUGCAAUUUUAUUCUACUCUAAGUUAAUAUUCUACAAAAAGCCUAUUCUUACACUUCCUCCUAGGUCAUGCUGCUCCUAGGUCAAGAACCAACAUGAGAGCUAUUCGUCAGUCACUACUUUUUUCAUAUGUUGAAGUUUGUUAUCACUUUAGAGAUGCAUAGGUGGGAUAAAAAUGGUCCUGAUAUGAGUGAAAACUAUGAGGUCAAUGCAGCAAGCAAGAAAAUUCAACAUCUGUACUUACUGUGCUUACAUUGUCAUUUCUGAGGAUGAUACAACUUUCAACAAAGCAGGCAAUGGAGACACAGUGGGGCAUUUGAAUGGGGUCACCCCAGAGUGUCUGGAGUGCAUACAUGCUUAUGUGCAUAUGUAUGUGUUGUGGGGAAAGGGAAGGAGUUAGAUAAAACACUCGUAAGUAAUACAAGCAGCUACAACAAUUUCUGCAGAACUCAGAUCAGGUGAAUUUCACCUCCUUUAUCUGAACAUAUGCACACCACUAUUAAUUUUCUUAUUAGUCCUCCAACUUGUUCAUGUUCUCUUUGACAUUUACCAUUUUGUCUGUAUGCAGACAAGACUCAUAAAAUGUGCAUUUAUAGACUCUGAAUAGCUGAGUGCAUUUCUUUGCUAUGCAGCUUUCCCUCUAAUGUAUACAAUUGCAGGGAACUAAUUUUUUUUUUUUUU
ensembl:lncRNA